UACGGGGGGGGCAAGCGUUGUUCGGAAUUACUGGGCGUAAAGGGUUUGUAGGUGGCCCGCUAAGUCACACGUGAAAUCCCUCAGCUUAACUGGGGAACUGCGUGUGAGACUGGCAGGCUCGAGGGCAGGAGAGGAACGCGGAAUUCCAGGUGUAGCGGUGAAAUGCGUAGAUAUCUGGAGGAACACCGGUGGCGAAGGCGGCGUUCUGGACUGUCUCUGACACUGAAGAACGAAAGCCAGGGGAGCGAACGGG
rnacentral:rRNA from 1 species